GACGAACGCUGGCGGCGUGCUUAACACAUGCAAGUCGAACGAUGAUGCCCUGCUUGCAGGGUGGAUUAGUGGCGAACGGGUGAGUAACACGUGGGUGAUCUGCCCCGCACUUCGGGAUAAGCCUGGGAAACUGGGUCUAAUACCGGAUACGACCCCCUGGUAGGUCAGGGGGUGGAAAGAUUUUAUCGGUGUGGGAUGAGCCUGCGGCCUAUCAGCUUGUUGGUGGGGUAAUGGCCUACCAAGGCGUCGACGGGUAGCCGGCCUGAGAGGGUGAUCGGCCACAUUGGGACUGAGACACGGCCCAGACUCCUACGGGAGGCAGCAGUGGGGAAUAUUGCACAAUGGGCGCAAGCCUGAUGCAGCGACGCCGCGUGGGGGAUGACGGCCUUCGGGUUGUAAACUCCUUUCGACAGGGACGAAGCUUAUGUGACGGUACCUGUAGAAGAAGCACCGGCUAACUACGUGCCAGCAGCCGCGGUAAU
rnacentral:rRNA from 1 species